ACUAUUUUACAGAAAUAGUGAGGACUGCUAAAACAUCUUUCUAGAACCAUCACUCCAUACCCCGACUAGAUCCUGCUAUGUUCUCACCUCCUGAGAAGAAAAAUGGAACAAAAAGGAAAAGGGUGAGCUCAACUAGCCCAGUAAAGAAUAUUAUGACUAAGAUAAUAUACAACAAAUUAUCAUUAGUCUUCAACAGGGAAAAAUCUAACAGAAUACAAUAGACAACAAGUUUUAGAUCAACAAAUGCAGCGGAAACAGCAAUCCAUUAGAAGAGUCACGUAGAGAAAGAAUUCUACUGUCUUCUAAGGUUUAAAAGUCCAUCAUCAAUAGUUUAUCCCUGUAAUAACAAUCAAUAUACAUCUUUAAUCAUCUUUGCACUACAGGCCAAAGAUAUUCAUUUGUAUCACCAGUUGGUCAUGUUCAUCUCAACACCUGUUCAUCUUUGCACUACAGGCCAAAGAUAUUCAUCAGUUAAUCGUUCAUCUUUGCACUACAGGCCAAAGAUAUUCAUUUAUAUCACCAUUUAGGACUGAGGAUGAUGAAAAACAUUUUUAAAGAAACGAAUCCAGUGAAACAAAAUGACAAGGAUUAAGGAUUAAGGAUUCGUACUUUGUUUUAC
rnacentral:lncRNA from 1 species